AGAGCACAGGGUGGAUGCCUAGGCACUGAGAGCCGAUGAAGGACGUGAUAAGCUGCGAAAAGCCACGGGGAGGAGCAAAUAUCCUUUGAGCCGUGGAUAUCCGAAUGGGGGAACCCACUUAAGUAAACCUUAAGUACUGACAAGCCAAUACAUAACUUGCCAGAGGGAACCCGGGGAACUGAAACAUCUAAGUACCCGGAGGAAGAGAAAGAAACAUCGAUUUCCUUAGUAGCGGCGAGCGAAAGGGAAAGAGCCCAAACCGAGAGAUUUAUCUUUCGGGGUUAGGACUGCAUAAUUGAUCUGCGAUUGAUAGGAGAAUGGUCUGGGAAGUCCAGCAGGAAAGCGUGAAAGCCGCGUAUCCGAAAUUGAAAGCAGCAAGGCAGUAUCCAGAGUACCACGAGACACGAGGAACCUUGUGGGAAUGAGCGGAGACCACUCCGUAAGGCUAAAUACUACUCAGUGACCGAUAGCGCAUAGUACUGUGAAGGAAAGGUGAAAAGGACCCCGGGAGGGGAGUGAAAGAGAACCUGAAACCCUGUGUUUACAAGCUGUCGGAGCACGAUAAGUGCGACGGCGUACUUUUUGUAGAACGGUCCGGCGAGUUAUGAUACGCGGUAAGGUUAAGGACUUAAGGUCCGGAGCCGAAGCGAAAGCGAGUGUUAAGAGCACGAGGAAUCACGUAUCAUAGACCCGAAACCGGGUGAUCUAUCCAUGUCCAGGAUGAAGCUGCCGUAAGAGGUAGUGGAGGUCCGAACACACAUCCGUUGAAAAGGGUGGUGAUGAGGUGUGGAUAGGGGAGAAAUUCCAAUCGAACCCGGAGAUAGCUGGUUCUCCUCGAAAUAGCUUUAGGGCUAGCCUUCAGUUAGUCUGCCGCAGGUAGAGCACUGAAUUUCCUAGGGGGCGUCAAAGCCUACCGAAGAAUAUCAAACUGCGAAUGGCGGACAGAUGAUGCUGGGGAGUCAGACUGCACGAGAUAAGUUGGGUGGUCAAAAGGGAAAGAGCCCAGACCUACAGCUAAGGUCCCAAAGUGCGUGUUAAGUGGAAAAGGAUGUGGGAUUUCGAAGACAACUAGGAUGUUGGCUCAGAAGCAGCCACACAUUAAAAGAGUGCGUAAUAGCUCACUAGUCGAGAGGUCCUGCGCCGAAAAUGUCCGGGGCUGAAACACGACACCGAAGCUUAGGAACAAAGAAACCAAGGUUUCUAUAUGUUGGUAGAGGAGCAUUGUUAGCGGAACGAAGCCAUACCGGAAGGAGUGGUGGACUGCUAAGAAGAGAGAAUGCCGGAAUGAGUAGCGAGAUUGAAGUGAGAAUCUUCAAGGCCGAAUAUCUAAGGUUUCCAGGGUAAAGCUGAUCUGCCCUGGGUAAGUCGGGACCUAAGGCGAGGUCGAAAGACGUAGCCGAUGGACAACAGGUUGAAAUUCCUGUACUGCGAUAUAUCAGAAAUGUGGGGACACAGAAGGAAAGUGUGAGCCGGGAAAGGAAAGACCGGUGCAAGCACAGGAGGAGAGAUACAGGCAAAUCCGUAUUUCAAUCCAAUGGUGUUACGCGGAGCGAACAAAAGUAGCGAAGCACACAGACCAUCUGUCGAGAAAAGCCGCUAUUGUGUAUACCGUACCCGUACCGUAAACCGACACAGGUGGAUGAGGAGAGAAUCCUAAGGCCGGCGGGAGAAGCAUUGUUAAGGAACUCGGCAAAAUGACCCCGUAACUUCGGGAGAAGGGGUGCUCACGCAAGUGAGCCGCAGAGAACUGGCCCAAGCAACUGUUUAGCAAAAACACAGGUCUAUGCAAAACCGAAAGGUGAGGUAUAUGGGCUGACGCCUGCCCGGUGCUGGAAGGUUAAGAGGAGAUGUUAGAGCAAUCGAAGCAUUGAAUUUAAGCCCCAGUAAACGGCGGCCGUAACUAUAACGGUCCUAAGGUAGCGAAAUUCCUUGUCGGGUAAGUUCCGACCCGCACGAAAGGCGUAAUGAUUUGGGCACUGUCUCGACAAUGCACCCGGUGAAAUUGAAAUACCAGUGAAGAUGCUGGUUACCUGCGCCAGGACGGAAAGACCCCAUGGAGCUUUACUCUAGCUUGAUACUGGGAUUCGGUAUUGCAUGUACAGGAUAGGUGGGAGACGAAGAGGUGAUGACGCCAGUUGUCACGGAGUCGAUGUUGGGAUACCACCCCUGCAGUACUGGGUUUCUAACCUGCGGCCGUGACCCGGCCGGGGGACAAUGUCUGGUGGGGAGUUUGACUGGGGCGGUCGCCUCCGAAAGGGUAUCGGAGGCGCUCAAAGGUUCCCUCAGAAUGGUUGGAAACCAUUCGAAGAGUGCAAAGGCAGAAGGGAGCUUGACUGCGACACCGACG
rnacentral:rRNA from 1 species